ensembl:lncRNA
CUUUAUUCAGUGUUUUUGAAGGAAGUCUCUGUUUAAGCGGUUCACUGCUUUCAGGCAUGUUAGAGCUGAGAUGGACCCUGUCCGAGAGGUACGCUUCUGUCAGAAUUCCUUCACAGCCAGAUGAAGGGAGAAAGAUUUACCCUGAGUUUACAUAUGUGGUUGAAGAGCCAGCAUCCAGUGAAGAGGGCCAUGGCAGCAGGACCUGCAGACAGUUCUGGAAGGGAAUGGAAACUCUGCUAGUCCAGGAGCAGUUGUGAGGUCUCCUAAGCUGCUGACAUGACCAAAUGCCACCACUCCUCAGCAGAGACGAGAGAGUCUGGGCAGCGCCUGUGUUCCCAAACUGCCCCAGAACAUUCUCGUCCCCCCAGGGGAAAGCGCGCGCCCGUGAGCAGCAGCUCCCUUUGCCAUACUCCCUGCCCAGCCGCCGGCGAUCACCGAUCCGCUUUCCAUCUCUACGGACGGGCCGACGCCGGGCAGUUCCUGUAAACGGAACCCCACACGCCGUGACUUUCUGCGUCUGGACGCUCACCGAGCGUAGUCUGAAGCGUCUCUGCCGGUGCAGCAGCACCAGGACGUCCCUCCUUUCCGCGCCUGAAUGACACCGCCGCUCGGACACACCACGCUUCCUCGUCCGCCCGCGGGCCGCCGCGCGUCCUCGCCUGGGCUGCUGGGAGCGCGCUGCGGCGACGCCGUCCUUCAGAGCGACGAGAAAUCAGCCUCACCGCCCCCGCCAACGCUGGGAGGGAAGCGGAGCAGGGAGUCCGGACGCCUCCCCGACACGCACCCAGGCAGGGCGGGCAGGGCCCUCGCACCCGCCGCAGCGUCCCCACCAGCUGGAAUCCCAGGCUCCAAGGCCUACACGCUUCCCGGGACUUCCGGUCCCAGUCCACGUGACUUCCAGGGGGCAGGACUUCCUGCCCCAAGACUGGGCAGUCCGGGCUAAUGGAGCCCGCCCUGGGGCCCACGUGACUUCCGGGGCGGGACUUCCUCUGCCGCUGCGGUGACCAGCACAGGCCUGGGCUUCCGGAAUGCGGUGAGGAGACUGUGGCUCCUCUUCCGGUGCGAGGCACGGCCUCGUCGUGGGCGUGUUUGGGGUCGGAGGCCACCGGUGGGCGUAAGCUGGGUGGUGGGCGAGUCCCAGGCCGGACCCCAGCCCGCCUCUCGGUGGUCCUGGCGCCCCCGGGCCGGCUGCUGGUGCGUCUCCAGGGCCUGGGCUCGGCCUUGAGGAGCCGACGGCCGAAGCUCCGGGGUGCUGCCGGGCACGUGGUCGCUCCUCCCACAGCUGACUCACGACAGAAGCCACAGCCCAGCCGCUAGGGGCUCCUGCGCUUGGAGCGUUGGCGCCCUAGGCCCCCUGUUCUCCAUCUACGUUUCCUCCUUCGCGCUUGAAGUGCGGGCCGGGAGCGCCGGGAAGGCGCGGAGGGAAGGCCGCCGGGCUCCCCCGCCGGAGCUGCCCCGUGGACUUCGCGAUCCUGCAAGGGUGAUGCCGCCCUGAUGCCGGUUCCCUGCACUGAACCCGGCACGUGGGCUUAAAACAGAGCAGUGGUUCCCUGCUCCCUGGCCCCAGCACCCACUGUCGCGUGGAGAUGUGGAGACCAGCGGCCAAGAAAGUUUUUCCUGAUGGACCCACCAUCCCUGCUCCUGAAGGCCCAUCUGAACCAGCC